AUCCUUUUCUGGUUCAUAAGCAUGAUGAUUGUGUUUACAUGCUUGUGUUAUAUGUGCUUUCUCAAAUAUUGUUACACAUUUGGCACAUUGCCCAUCUGAUG
ensembl:snoRNA